UACGGUGCAAAGAAUAUGG
rnacentral:siRNA from 1 species